UACAGAGGGGGCAAGCGUUGUUCGGAAUUACUGGGCGUAAAGGGCGCGUAGGCGGCCUGCUAAGUCGAACGUGAAAUCCCUGGGCUCAACCCAGGAACUGCGUCCGAUACUGGUUGGCUUGAAUCCGGGAGAGGGAUGUGGAAUUCCAGGUGUAGCGGUGAAAUGCGUAGAUAUCUGGAGGAACACCGGUGGCGAAGGCGGCCCCCUGGUUCGAUACUGACGCUGAGGUGCGAAAGCGUGGGGAGCAAACAGG
rnacentral:rRNA from 1 species